UCCUGUUCUCCAAGCCCUAGCAUGAAAAUCACUUUUCUAAAACUGACUAAAAUAUGACUUAAGCCCAAUUAAACUUCUAAAAAUGAAUUCGAAUAAUUAAGUAAGGAAAAGACUAAAUUACCCUUCCAAAAUUCAGAUUAGACUUUUCUUAAUCCAACAGCCCAACUUUCAAAAAGAAUAACUUACUAAUACGAACUCGGAAUCGUGCAAACUCAACGGUGUUGGAAAGAUCAUUCCAAGAGCUUUCCAACCAUAUCUGGAAAUACUCACAACUCAUAUUGAGCUAGGAGUUAUUCCAUUUGAAGUUGACCAAAACUCAACUUAUUCUAACUUAACAAUUUUUUCCAGAUUUUCAUUCUUUCUAAAAAUGAGUAUUUCCAAUUAUUGGCUUCUUCCUAGUUAUUUCAAAUUGCGAGAUGUUAAAAUAUCUCCCCCUUGAGAACAUUCGUCCUCGAUUUAGAUUACUCUUACUAGGCUAAGGGUGUAACAUCAAGUUCAAACACCCAACAAGCAAAUGCAAACAAACAACAUGCUCACUCAUAAUUUAAAGAGUACUAAGAAGAGAAUUAGUACCUUGGUCUGCAUUUUCUCCGGAUUCGAAGAGAUGUGGAUAUUUGUUCUUCAUAUCCUCCUCAGCUUCCCAAGUAGCUUUCUCAACAAAUUGGUUCCCCCAAUCACGACGGUCUGGGUCGUGACACGCCUCUAUUUAUAUCUACCAAAAAGUAGUAUGAAUAGGUGUUAACUGUGCCUUAUCCAAAAAGUCACAACCUUUCGAAAAAGUCACUGCUUAUCGGAAAAGUCACAACCCUUUGAAAAAGGCACAACUCAUCAGAAAAGGCACAACCCUUUAGUAAAGUCACAACCCUUCGAAAAAGUCACAACUCAUUGAAAAUGUCACAACCCGUCAAAAAGU
rnacentral:lncRNA from 1 species